rnacentral:rRNA from 1 species
UACGAGGGGGGCAAAUGUUGUUCGGAAUCACUGGGCGUAAAGGGAGCGUAGGCGGGUUUUUAAGUCAGGUGUUUAAUCCCGGGGCCCAACCCCGGACAGGCACUUGAAACUGGGAAUCUUGAAUAGUGGAGAGGUCGGUGGAAUUGGGGGUGUAGCGGUGGAAUGCGUAGAUAUCAAGAGGAAUACCUGAGGUGAAGACGGGUUGCUAGGCCGACACUGACGCUGAAGCGCGAAAGCCAGGGGAGCAAACGGG